UACGUAGGGGGCUAGCGUUGUCCGGAAUCAUUGGGCGUAAAGCGCGUGUAGGCGGUCCGGUAAGUCCGCUGCGAAAGUCGGGGGCUCAACCCUCGAAUGCCGGUGGAUACUGUCGGGCUAGAGUGCGGAAGAGGCGAGUGGAAUUCCUGGUGUAGCGGUGAAAUGCGCAGAUAUCAGGAGGAACACCAAUUGCGAAGGCAGCUCGCUGGGACGUUACUGACGCUGAGACGCGAAAGCGUGGGGAGCAAACAGG
rnacentral:rRNA from 1 species